AUCAGGGAUACACCUGUUCCCAUUCCGACCACAGACGUUAAGCUCUUUAGCGCCGAUGGUACUUGGUGGGAAGCUGCCUGGGUGAUAAGGACGU
rnacentral:rRNA from 1 species